AACGUAGGGGGCGAGCGUUAUCCGGAUUUACUGGGCGUAAAGCGCAUGUAGGCGGUUUGGAAAGUUGGACGUGAAAGCUCCCGGCUUAACUGGGAGAGGUCGUACAAAACUACCAAGCUUGAGGUUGGAAGAGGAGAGUGGAAUUCCCGGUGUAGUGGUGGAAUGCGUAGAUAUCGGGAGGAACACCAGUGGCGAAAGCGGCUCUCUGGUCCAAUUCUGACGCUGAGAUGCGAAAGCGUGGGGAGCAAACGGG
rnacentral:rRNA from 1 species